GCAGUAGCCGCGGUAAUACGUAGGUGGCAAGCGUUGUCCGGAAUUAUUGGGCGUGAAGCGCGCGCAGGUGGUUUAAUAAGUCUGAUGUGAAAGCCCACGGCUCAACCGUGGGGGGUCAUUGGAAACUGUUAAACUUGAGUGCAGGAGAGAAAAGUGGAAUUCCUAGUGUAGCGGUGAAAUGCGUAGAGAUUAGGAGGAACACCAGUGGCGAAGGCGGCUUUUUGGCCUGUAACUGACACUGAGGCGCGAAAGCGUGGGGAGCAAACAGGAUUAGAUACCCCAGUAGUCCCUGUCUCUUAUAC
rnacentral:rRNA from 1 species